GACGAACGCUGGCGGCGCGCCUAACACAUGCAAGUCGAACGGGACUAUGCUGGAAGAAGUUUUCGGAUGGAUUUUGGUAUAGUUUAGUGGCGGACGGGUGAGUAACACGUGAGCAACCUGCCUUCGAGAGGGGAAUAACGGCUGGAAACGGUCGCUAAUACCGCAUAAUAUACAGGAGGGACAUCCCUUUUGUAUCAAAGAUUUAUCGCUCGAAGAUGGGCUCGCGUCCGAUUAGGUAGUUGGUGAGGUAACGGCCCACCAAGCCGACGAUCGGUAGCCGGACUGAGAGGUUGAACGGCCACAUUGGGACUGAGACACGGCCCAG
rnacentral:rRNA from 1 species